AUCACACUCUUAGCCCAUAGAGCUCCUCCGAACUUCUCUGGCACUGUCUUAUUAAGGGGAGCCAUGUCUGGGUAGAACUGUAAGUGAUUCUUCCCCUUUAUUGGGGAGCAGUGGCUUUCAAGUCCCCAGCUCCUGAUCUCUCAUUUCCUCCCCUACCCUCAGUCAAUGCUGAAUUCCUUUCAGCAACACUGAUUGGGAAACAAACUCUCAACCAAUGAGGCGAUGAAAUGUCAAGGCAAAGAGAUUCUAUAAACUGUGGAGCUCUAGAGGGUCACAAAUGGACAGGUUAGCCUGAAAAAGAAGUGUAGGCUGAGGAAGAUAUAUACCCAUGAAUGUGACAGGAAUUGUUUUCCCUUUCAGGAAAUAAGCGAGAGUGCCCCAGGAAAGUUCUGAGAAGACUACUGUCAAUGAUAUCUGGUCUAAUUCAUUGGACCAUAUAAACUUAGGAGCCCCAGCCCAGGUCACAGGAAGAGUGUGAGGUUGCCACGGGCAUUCCUGGAAAAACCUGGAGACCUCCGGCGCCACCUCAAAUCCUAAAACGCACAGAAGAGACUCAUUUUGCCUGCCUGCUUCCUUGCUGGAGCUCCAUAAAUCUGCAUUGCAUUUGGAAAGCAGUAGUUCAAGUAUGGAUCCUGGUAUACCUGCAGCUGGACUUUGAUAUAACUACCGUUCAUUACGAAAGACCUGAUGAUGCAGAUAUUAAAUAAAUAGUCCAAAGACUGUGGAGAGGCAGCUGGCUUGGCUGUUGUCACUGCCUGCAGCAGCAUCACCACCACCAUCGUUGCUCUCAUCAUUAUCAUUAUCAACAAGCACUGAUGUUUGUUCUAUCGCUUAUAAGGCACUAUGUUAAAUGUUUGGGCUCCAAUGAAUAACAGUGCACUUAAUUUUAUGUAUAUUUAAUUUUCCAACAAAUGCGGUCUUCCUGCCUCUCUCCUGUCCAUGUAUGGCUUCUAUGCUUUUUAAAUUGAGAAUCUAUUUUUUAUCAAGUAUUAUCUUAUUUUAUCUUUAAAAGAAUAGUGUUAUUAAGAUAGAGUUUGCAGACGUGGAUGGAACUGGAGGGUAUUAUGUUGAGUGAAAUAAGUCAAACAGAGAAAGAUAUGUAUCAUAUGAUCUCACUGAUAUGAGGAAUUCUUAAUUGUAGGAAACAAAC